rnacentral:rRNA from 1 species
UACGUAGGUGGCGAGCGUUGUCCGGAUUUACUGGGCGUAAAGGGAGCGUAGGCGGACUUUUAAGUGAGAUGUGAAAUACUCGGGCUCAACUUGAGUGCUGCAUUCAAACUGGAAGUCUAGAGUGCAGGAGAGGAGAAUGGAAUUCCUAGUGUAGCGGUGAAAUGCGUAGAGAUUAGGAAGAACACCAGUGGCGAAGGCGAUUCUCUGGACUGUAACUGACGCUGAGGCUCGAAAGCGUGGGGAGCAAACAGG